rnacentral:rRNA from 1 species
GUCUACGGCCAUACCACCCUGAACGCGCCCGAUCUCGUCUGGAUCUCGGAAGCUAAGCAAGGGUCGGGCCCGGUUAGUACUUGGAUGGGAGACCGCCUGGGGAAUACCGGGUGCUGUAGGCU